rnacentral:rRNA from 1 species
AUACGGAGGGUGCAAGCGUUAUUCGGAAUCACUGGGCGUAAAGGACGCGUAGGCGGGUUGGCAAGUCAGAUGUGAAAUCCUACAGCUUAACUGUAGAACUGCAUUUGAAACUGCUAACCUAGAGUAUGGGAGGGGGAGAUGGAAUUAGUGGUGUAGGGGUAAACUCCGUAGAUAUCACUAGGAAUACCGAAAGCGAAGGCGAUCUCCUGGAACAUAACUGACGCUAAGGCGUGAAAGCGUGGGGAGCAAACAGGAUUAGAAACCCCAGUAGUCC